rnacentral:lncRNA from 1 species
AGUUUGGCUUGAGUUGAUACAUUAACUGUUAGGAUUUAGUUAGAUUUGUAGUUGAAUCCUAGUUAAAUAAGAAUUAAUAUUUAAAUCUGUUGGAGAUAAAUUAAGAUUUAAAUAUUAAUUAGAGGAUAAACCUAACUAGAUUAGGAUUAAUAUUUAAAUCUNAGGAGACAAGCUCAAGGUGGAGCUUGCAUGGUGAGCUCGACGUGACGGUUGAAAAUUACAAAUCCAACCAAGGUAGAGAUUGUUAAGAUUUGGUUAGAUUUGUAAUUGAAUCCUGUUUGGAUAAUAAUUAAUAUUUAAAUCUGUUGGAGAUAAAUUAAGAUUUAAAUAUUAAUUAGAGGAUAAACCUAACUAGAUUAGGAUUAAUAUUUAAAUCUACUAGAGAUUAAUUAAGAUAGAUUUAGAUAUUAAUUAGAGUAGAAAUCCUAAAUAUACUAGAAUUGGGUACAUUCUAGUU